GGAUUGUGGCUCAGUGGUAGAGCGCUUGCCUAGCAUGUAUGAGGCACUGGGUUUGAUUCUCAGCAUCA
rnacentral:tRNA from 1 species